rnacentral:rRNA from 1 species
GGAUGCCUUGGCAGUCAGAGGCGAUGAAAGACGUGGUAGCCUGCGAAAAGCUUCGGGGAGUCGGCAAACAGACUUUGAUCCGGAGAUGUCUGAAUGGGGGAACCCAGCCAUCAUAAGAUGGUUAUCUUGUACUGAAUACAUAGGUGCAAGAGGCGAACCAGGGGAACUGAAACAUCUAAGUACCCUGAGGAAAAGAAAUCAACCGAGAUUCCCUUAGUAGUGGCGAGCGAACGGGGACUAGCCCUUAAGUGGCUNUGAGAUUAGCGGAACGCUCUGGAAAGUGCGGCCAUAGUGGGUGAUAGCCCUGUACGCGAAAAUCUCU